AACAAACGCUGGCGGCGUGCCUAACACAUGCAAGUCGUACGAGAAAGUCGGCUUCGGCCGAUGAGUAGAGUGGCGCACGGGUGAGUAACGCGUGGGUAAUCUACCCCCCGGUCAGGAAUAACCCGCCGAAAGGCGGGCUAAUACCCGAUAACACUGACGCACCACGGUGUGUCUUUCAAAGAAGGCCUCUGUUUACAAGCUUUCGCCGGAGGAUGAGCCCGCGUACCAUUAGCUAGUUGGCAGGGUAAUGGCCUACCAAGGCAACGAUGGUUAGCUGGUCUGAGAGGAUGGCCAGCCACACUGGAACUGAGACACGGUCCAGACUCCUACGGGAGGCAGCAGUGAGGAAUCUUGCGCAAUGGGGGAAACCCUGACGCAGCAACGCCGCGUGAGUGAGGAAGGCCUUCGGGUCGUAAAGCUCUGUCAGAUGGGAAGAAAUGGCUGUAAGCCAAUACCUUGCAGUCUUGACGGUACCAUCAGAGGAAGCACCGGCUAACUCCGUGCCAGCCGCCGCCGUAA
rnacentral:rRNA from 1 species